GAUGAACGCUGGCGGCGUGCUUAACACAUGCAAGUCGAGCGAAGCACUCUGCUUUGAUUCCUUUGGGAUGAAGAGCGUUGUGACUGAGCGGCGGACGGGUGAGUAACGCGUGGGUAACCUGCCUCAUACAGGGGGAUAACAGUUAGAAAUGGCUGCUAAUACCGCAUAAGACCACAGCACCGCAUGGUGCAGGGAUAAAAACUCCGGUGGUAUGAGAUGGACCCGCGUCUGAUUAGCUAGUUGGUGGGGUAACGGCCUACCAAGGCGACGAUCAGUAGCCGACCUGAGAGGGUGACCGGCCACAUUGGGACUGAGACACGGCCCAAACUCCUACGGGAGGCAGCAGUGGGGAAUAUUGCACAAUGGGGGAAACCCUGAUGCAGCGACGCCGCGUGAGCGAAGAAGUAUUUCGGUAUGUAAAGCUCUAUCAGCAGGGAAGAAAAUGACGGUACCUGACUAAGAAGCCCCGGC
rnacentral:rRNA from 1 species